GAUACCUGAAGAACAAAGGAAAUCCAAAGAUGAGCAGUGACCUGAAGGUGAUAGGAAACUUCCAUUUCAUAUUAUGAAUUCAGGAUGUUUUGUGCAGUUAUAUUCUACUGACUCGCAGGUGAAAAAAUGGGCAGUUUGAGAAGAUUCCUGGGCAGUGACGUGGGGAAGGUUAAGAAACCCCGACAGAUUCCCAAUGUACUGAAGCAGAAGGCCGAAGACCCUAGUGGCAGCCACAGAAACAAUUCUGGUACCAAAUACAAGGUUAAAAUGUCAACAGUGACAUUGUAAAAAGGACUUGUGGCAGUCAGAAUUUUUGUCUGACAGAACAGAUGAGGGUUUGGUUGUUGGCUUUUUUUUUUUAAUUUUGGAUUAGGAUUGUUUUUCUCUGAUGCAAAUUAAAUUUAAGUUUGGGAGACCAGUAUGAUGGCAAACCUCCACCUAUCCCUCCUCCCCACAUCCCUUCCCCCUUGAAGCUUUCCCCCCCCCCUCCUCCCCUUACCUCACUAGCAGUCUUGUUGCCCAGUUUCUGAGAGAUGGCCUGGAAGGUUUCCAGCUGGGCUCCCUUCUCCUGGCAGGUGGUCAGGAUGACCCUAUCGGCCUCCCUGUGAAACAGCACAAGAGUUAAAAAGCCACCGAAAACAAGUGCUGGGACACAUGGACCACCACAAACCUGAGAGGCCUGGUCCCAGUUUACCCACCCUGUAACUCGAAGGUGACAUUCUGCAAUCAAUGUUCUUCACCACUGUGGGUUACUAAACCAGCUGCUGUGCAAAGAAGUGAUGAAUGCAUGAAAAAGCUUUAGUGUGCAGCCCAGAACAACAUUCUCAAGUGAAGCACAUGUUACUGCUGUUGGCACCCUAUUUACACAACCACUCUCAACCAGGCACCAGGCUGCAUUUCACCAAAACCACUGUGUUUAACCUGGGUGCUGUCUCAAACAGCAGCGUUAAGGGAGAUCUGGCUGCUGAAAGGAGAGAGAAGUCUCUUUCAGGUUAUUUACCCUGCAAUAAUCACAUUCCCCUUGCCUGUACCAGACUGAAGGAAAAAACCAAGUAACAUGAAGGGGAUCAUUUAAAAGAUAAGACAGAUGUAGACUUUGAACUGCUGUGUUAAAAUGGAAAAAAACAGUAUUAUGGUAGCUCUGGGAAUGGGUUCAGUACGUCAGCAAAAGAAGCUUAAACGUAGCAUUCAUUCUGAAAAGGGGAGAAUAUUUCUCUAGUCAGGAAAGCUUAUUUUGAAGGGAAUGCUCUAGAUAUAUGCAUGUUUAGAGCAUCCAGAUUGGAUGAAGACAAGGAAAAAAA